rnacentral:rRNA from 1 species
GACGGAGGAUGCAAGCGUUAUCCGGAAUGAUUGGGCGUAAAGCGUCCGCAGGUGGCAGUUCAAGUCUGCUGUCAAAGACCGGGGCUUAACUUCGGAAAGGCAGUGGAAACUGAACAGCUAGAGUAUGGUAGGGGCAGAGGGAAUUCCUGGUGUAGCGGUGAAAUGCGUAGAGAUCAGGAAGAACAUCGGUGGCGAAGGCGGCUCUCUGGCCUGUAACUGACGCUGAGGCGCGAAAGCGUGGGGAGCAAACAGG